AAAAAAUGCGUCAACGCAAUUAAUAUUUUCCGAGUCCGAUCGUUUUAUUUUGUUCGUGUAUGAACGCCAAUUGUGAGACUUUUUUUCUGUUUUAACGUUUAUAUCUUGGCUUUCAUAUAACCCGGAUGAAAAUUCGACUGGUUUCCGGUAAUUAAUUGACGAAACACCCUUCUCGCGCAAGACCGGAAUCCAGUAAAAUAGUCACAUGAUUAAUACGAUUAGUUACCCGGUUUCCAUGACGUACUUUAAGAGCUAUAUAUAGAAUCACUGGGAUUCCCAGAUUUGAGUGUUCGUCGGGAGAGAGAGAGAGAGAGCGAGAUCGUUGUACAUGGUACAAAUUGGAUACGUGUCGACGUUCCCAAAAGAAAAAAAACAUGUCUUUGAGGGUUGGGACUGAAGGCCUUGUUUUGAGGGUGUUUUGCAGACCAGUGGUUGUCGGCCUGGGGAUUUUCAAGAAAAACUGUAGACUGCCCCCUUAAUUAAGUUAUAUUACAAAGAAAACCACCCAGUUUCAUCCAGAAUUGACUGAAGAGUACAAAAAAAAAUUUUAGAUGGGUUUAAAACUUUGGACUGCUAUCUUAAGGUUGGGACUGAAGGCCUUGUUUUGAGGGUGUUUUGCAGACCAGUGGUUGUCGGCCUAGGGAUUUUCAAGAAAAACUGUAGACUGCCCCCUUAAUUAAGGUUGGAACUGAAGGCCUUGUUUUGAGGGUGUUUUGCAGACCAGUGGUUGUGGGCCUGAUGAUUUUCAAGAAAAACUGUAGACUGCCCCCUUAAUUAAGGUUGGGACUGAAGGUUUGUUUUGAGGGUGUUUUGCAGACCAGUGGUUGUCGGCCUGAGGAUUUUCAAGAAAAACUGAAGAAUGCCCCCUUAAUUAAGGUUGGGACUGAAGGCCUUGUUUUGAGGGUGUUUUGCAGACCAGUUGUUGUCGGCCUCAGGAUUUUCAAGAAAAACUGAAGACUGCCCCCUUAAUUAAGAAGGCUCCCAUUGCUGUGGAGUGCAUUGAACGACAUCAUGGCCUAGAAGAACAAACCCGGGGAUAAUACCAGCAGCAACAAGUAUCACGCAACCGCCAAAAUGCACGCCGCCAUUUUGAAGCACGUCAGAGUGAACCGAUGGUUUCCAUGGAUUCCAUGAAGAUUCAGAGGAUUUGCUGGUUUUUAAUUGUCCAAUUAUUUUUAAAAAUAAACAUUUUGGGGAAUGU